rnacentral:tRNA from 1 species
AGGGUGUAUCGGCCGGUCAGUUCGACCCGCCGGAGACGGGUCUGCCGCGGCAUGUUCCAGCCGAGCACGCCUUCC